UUUUUAUACUGAGCGUAUUGGAACGUUAUCGAUAAGAAGAGAGCGUCUAGGCGAACAAUGUUCUUAAAGUUUGACCUCAAAUCAGGUAGGAGUACCCGCUGAACUUAAGCAUAUCAAUAAGCGGAGGAAAAGAAACCAACCGGGAUUGCCUUAGUAACGGCGAGUGAAGCGGCAAAAGCUCAAAUUUGAAAUCUGGUACCUUCGGUGCCCGAGUUGUAAUUUGGAGAGGGCAACUUUGGGGCCGUUCCUUGUCUAUGUUCCUUGGAACAGGACGUCAUAGAGGGUGAGAAUCCCGUGUGGCGAGGAGUGCGGUUCUUUGUAAAGUGCCUUCGAAGAGUCGAGUUGUUUGGGAAUGCAGCUCUAAGUGGGUGGUAAAUUCCAUCUAAAGCUAAAUAUUGGCGAGAGACCGAUAGCGAACAAGUACAGUGAUGGAAAGAUGAAAAGAACUUUGAAAAGAGAGUGAAAAAGUACGUGAAAUUGUUGAAAGGGAAGGGCAUUUGAUCAGACAUGGUGUUUUGUGCCCUCUGCUCCUUGUGGGUAGGGGAAUCUCGCAUUUCACUGGGCCAGCAUCAGUUUUGGUGGCAGGAUAAAUCCAUAGGAAUGUAGCUUGCCUCGGUAAGUAUUAUAGCCUGUGGGAAUACUGCCAGCUGGGACUGAGGACUGCGACGUAAGUCAAGGAUGCUGGCAUAAUGGUUAUAUGCCGCGGCUUGAAACACGGACCAAGGAGUCUAACGUCUAUGCGAGUGUUUGGGUGUAACACCCAUACGCGUAAUGAAAGUGAACCUAGGUUG
rnacentral:rRNA from 1 species